CGGCCCCGGGGCUGUGCUCGUCCCGGCUGCUUCUGUCUGCAGGGUUCCCUCGCCUCUCUGCCGGACCCGGGCGGAGGGCAGCGAGGGUGACUGGGAGACUGGAGCAUCUCACUUCCGAGGAAAGGCUGAGGGAGCUGGGCCUGUUCAUCCUCCAGAAGAGAUGAUUGAGAUGGGACCCCAUCAAUGUCUGUUCUGCAAGCCUUGAGAAUGGGAAGUUCUUCAGCAUCAGUCCCAGAAGUCUCUGCUCAUUUGGCAGCUCCCAUAGUAUCAGCACUGCUGAAGAUUAGGUGGAUAUAAAUGGGAGCAGGGAUCUUCUCAGGCACUGCUUUUUUUCACUGAUUACCGUCCUUUCCAGUAACUGCCAUGGCAUGAAGCUGGUAUGAAGUUUGUUAUAAAACACAACAGAAGUGGUUCACAACAAGCAGUGCAGGAGGGCAGGUGGGCACAUGGGGAGAAGGUGAAACAGAGGUUCUAGGAGCCCUGCUGGACCUCAUGUCACUGUUCCUUCAUAAAAGAGCCUUCAUGGAAGCAGUAAUUUCAUUUCAUUGUCACAUAUCUGGAUAUCAGUGAACAGCCGGCAGUGGACAAAGUCAAGAAUUUUAAGUAUGCAUUUAUAACCUAGCAUGCAGGGUGCAUGCAGAACAGCAUGGCAUACAAGAGGUGAUAUCUAUCAGAAGCCCUGAGCAUAUCUGAAAUUCCACAACAUGGCACUGCAGCUUCUCUUCACACUCAUGCUGUUAAGCCAUUCUUGCCAAGGAAUGUCAGAUACGCCAUCUAUUGCAGAAAGCAAAAGGAGAGUGACAUGUGCCAAAGUCUGAAGGGCCAUUCUUAUCUGGCUAUUGUUAUUAAGAAAUAUGGAAUAAAGCAGGUUGGGGGAAGAAGAAUUUUUCUACCUUUGGCCUAACCUGCAGACCAGAUAAAGAGCACUGUAAUUCAGAGCUCCUCGCAGACAAACUUUUACCCGAGGACUACCUGGACCACUUCUGCUUCGAGAAUCAGACUCGGAAGUCCUUGAGCUGGACCGAGAGCUGUCUUCUUCCUCUGAUCCCGAUGACUCAUCUAUAAAUGGGCUGUUGCUUAUUUGAGUUGCUUUCUGCAUAAAUGAACACAACAUUCUUUGAUAUCUUGCAUAAAGGGUAUCAGUCAUUUCCUUCAUACUGUGGCAGAACUCUUUUGGCUUCAUAAUAUUCAAAGCUGUUUCUUGCUUGGGUUGUGAGUUUUGGCACACAAAUAUUAACAUGAAACUGAAUUCCCUCUGCCGUCUGUACGCUCAAACACACCCACACUUCAAAACAGAAACCUGAGGUAGCUCAAGGCAUGGGUCUUUCCAAAGCACAAAAGACUGUCAGAAACAAACAACGCUGUGAUUACUUACUGCUGGUUAUGUGACUAGAAACAGCUUUGGCACUGACACAAAGAAUUUCUACAUACACAUGCUUUUAAUUAUGACACUGAACACCAUGUGGUUCUGUUUAAUAAUUAGCAAGUCUUUGGAAAAAAUCAGCAAGGAACCUAAGAAGAACUGACCUAGGCUAGUAACAUUCCAUAAGCAGUAUUUUUUCCCCAGCUAUUUGACAUUUCUAUUACUUCUGGGGUUCUGUGAUCUCUAAACAUCAACUUACAACAUAUUUGGCAUGGUAGUAUUAAAUGUAAAACAGGAAGUUCCUGGAUGUGAAGCCCAAUGGUAUUUAAAAAUUUCCUUUAAACGGUAAUACAGUUACCCCUUUCAAAGUGGUAUAGACAGGAGUGGUCAUGUUCUUAUAUAUCAGAGAUGUAUAUAAUCCGGAUAUGGAGCAUGAAGUUAGUGAAACAGCACCUAAAAAAGCAACAUAUUCUAUAAAUGACCUUCUUAAUUUACCCCUCAAUUAACCAAAUUCAAAUGUAAUUUUUUUUGUGUUGUUUAACUGCUAUAAAAAGCAAACUAACUCCCAAACUGUUUUAGAUGGGAGAUUUAUAACUUUUUAAAAUUUACAAUGGUUUUAAGAAGCAUAAAUAAAAUUGCAGUCAUGAACACAAACCUUUUUUAAAUUGGAAGCAUAAGCUCUUACCUUGGUACCUGUUAUAGAAUCUUCAAAAAGAAUUGCAAAGUAAACUGGAGUGAACAAUGUACAAAUUCAGCACAAAAUCAAGAGGUAAGGUGGACUAUGGAAAAAUAACCAAUAAUCUUCUAGGUUUUAAAUAGCUGAUAACUAAAUCUUCAUAAAAUUAUUUUAGAAGUCCUUGCUUACACAUCACCAUAAGAAUAGAAUUUUUUUUGAUGAGACAAUGAACAACUAAACCACUUACUUUUAUUACGAGAUUCCAGGGUGAAAGCUUCAGACAUCCUUAAACCAGAUUUGGCUACAGCAUAAAUUCUGCUUUCCUAUACAAGCAAAAUGGAUUUGAUGGUAGAUAAUUAAAACACAACAAUUACCUUUCUUCUGUUUAGCCUCCUAGUCUUGGUGCCAGUGCAACUAUAUGCUAAAAUGGUUCACAAAAUGACAUCAUCAACAGCAGCUGAAAAAUGCAUCCUUCUUUUAUAUGCCAUCCCCAUCAUAUUCAUAGUCUGUUUCAACAUUGCCCUGUAGGUAACUUACUUUUAAAAAUACUAUUAUCAGGCGCCAAAGAAGCUAUAGCAAGAAUGUUUUUUAAUGGAAGAUUGUGUGUUAAGAACAGAGAAAUGCCAUUAAAAGACAGUUUUUCAACCAUUUUGUGUUAGAAGACUACGAUAAGAAAAUCUAUAAUGAAAAAAAAUGCACUAAAAUAUAUACAUAGAAAAGCUGUUACAUUAAUGCAUUAUUCAUCUCUGAAUCAUUAAUAAAUCUCUUGACACUGGAACCACAGAA